GAGAAUAACUACAAGACCAUCCCUUCCCCUGCAGGAAUUGAAGACCAAGAAGAGAUUGGAGGACCCUAAAGAGCCCUUCCAUUGAGCUAUGAGCUCAGCUGGGCUGCAGGGCUCUCUCCCUGCUGGAGCUGACCUGGCAGAGCGACUGUGGCAUGGCCCCAGGUGCCCCCCAGCGCCAGCAGCUGAGCUGGUGCUCCGCCUCUUUCAAAACAGGUUGUGUACAAAAUCAAGAAGAGAAUCUGCAGGGGGUAGAGAGAAUUUACAAGGAAUGUUACCCCUAGAUAAAAAAAUUAUUUAGCCUCCAUGUGAUGAAGACAAGAAUUUCUCUUGCAGCUAGGAAUGUUUAACUAGUUUAUUCUUUUGCCCUGCCCUGUGGUCUGACGCUCCCUUAAAAGGGCAUAAAAUGAGGUAACAUGGAUUCUCUUCAUAAUCUUCAUCUGUAUUUGUUAAUCUGGUUCAUGGAAGAAACCUGUCAAACAAGAAAUGUUACUAAGUCGCAAGUUAUUAAAACAUAACACUUACCCAUGAGAAAGUAAAACUGGGAAAUGAAAGAAAGUGCCGGUUCUUUUAAUGCUGCAACUCGUCAGUGGGGUAACUUCCUGUGUCUGACACUGCACUGGCCGCUGUUAAGAUCCGAAGCAACUGCACUAAGUCCUCAUUUCCAGGUUGCAGCUCUUCCCACAGAGCGUUUCAGCGCUGCUGACAGAACACACUAGGGGACGUGAAAAUGAUGAAGACAAACCCUCCCUUCUCAAUAACAGACGAGAGCCUUCAAAUUGAUAUUUUUGAAAGGAAUAAUUCAGUGGUGUGAAUGAACUUGAGACGGAAAAUUAAAAAAAAAAAGAAAGGAGGAAAGAAGGAUGGCCCGUUCCUAGGUGCAAGGUUCCUCAAACAGAUUCUGUUCUUCCUCCUAUGGACAUCCUUUGGUUAAUGGAAUCAUUAUCCUCCCAGAUCCAGAGAAAACAAUAUUGCUGAGACGGCUGGCUGUACCUCUCCCCCCAUCAAUAGCCCACUUCAUCCAUGGUAAUUGACGCAGUGUGUGAUGGGACACAGCUUCCCUGAAUAAAGACCACAUUGUCCAGCCUUUUCUCUUAGCCGCAAGCAGCAGUGUGACUAAGUUUGGCUAAUGCAUUGUAAGUAGAAGUGAUACUGAAAAGCUUCCAGGAAAACAUCCUUUAAAAACAGGGUGGCGUGCCCUUCGCCUGCUCCCGGGAACAUGGAUUUGAUGGCUUGUGCUUCAACCAUCACUUUGGACCAUGGAGAUGGAGGUCACAGCCGAGGGUUGAAAGGGAAGAGAGCUAGAAAGAGCUUUCUCCUAAAACCUAAAGAGCAAAGCCACCAUCCCAUCUCUGGACUUCCAACCGUCAGACUUCCUUGGAGACGGAAAUAAAUGGUUAUUUGGGGAUGAUUUCUUCAUCUGCAGUCAGUGCUAGUCGUGCCUGAUAUUAGUACAAAUUCGUGUAAAUAUUAGUAUAUUAUAAGAAAUACAAGAAAGAAGUCACUGCCCAUCACCCAUACUAACACUUUAUCUUUUUCUUUUUAUCACAUGUCCUCUCAGUCUUGCUCUGAAAUACUGACAUACAGUUUAGGAGAAUGGUCAAAUUUUCAAUCUGUCCACCCGAAUAUUGACCUGGAAUAAAACUGCUCACAUGCUUUUUAUUUCUUCUUCUAAGUGAAAUUACAAUAAACUAAUAUUAAGGUGCCAGGCAAAGCAGUCAGCAGUCUCUCUCUCUCUCUCUCUCUCUCUCUCGUUUUUUUAGAACACUGAGAAACAAAAGAGCUUCUGAACUGGGAGGAUCUGGUCCCAUUAAUGUGUCCCUUUUCUUCGGACCCCUUGCAUUCUCUGCUUCCCUAGGACCCUCAAAUAUAUCAGAUUAAAAUGCAAGAGAAAGACAGGCUAGAGAUAUAAGAUGGGAGUCAUCAGCCUAUGGGUGACAAGGAAAGCAAAGGGCUGAAUGCAGUUACGCAAGAAUAAGGAGAUGGGCGAGAAGGGUUCUCUAAUGGAGUACUGCAGAAAGUUCAUUAGCAUGUAGUGGGCAGGGAAACAGACGCCCUCAAUGAAGACUCUGAAGGAGUGGUCAGAAAUUCUGAACAAAAAAACAUUAAAACAUCGUUGUCUUUUCUUGAUCAACAGUAUUAACUUCCUGUGAUCUGGGAAAUAAGUUAUGAAUUGAUAUUCCUUGGAUCAACAAGGAGGUCACUGGUGGUGGCGAUGCAAGGACAGGUUCAGGCGGCAGGGAUGGGGGUUGGGGAGUGGUUCAGGCAGGAGGAGGGGCUGAGAUUCCUGCUUAAACCAUCCAAGGCUAUAUCUGUUACACAGACUAAUUUGGUUUGCUUUUGGUUUGCGUUCAGUGGCAAAGUCAGUUACAAAGUCAGUUGUUUGAUUGAUUGGACUUUUCAAGUCCUUUGAAGCAAAUUACUAUUUUUAUGCAAACCCGGACAAUGUUAGAGGACAGAGGAAACUGGAAAGCAACCUUGCUCGGAGGGUAAAAUUUCCUUUACAUCCGGCACUGUAGUCCUGCCAGAGCCCCCCUUAUGGGCAGGCAGCUGAGAAGAGCAGGAAUCACUAAUGUCCCCAGGAGCCUGAGCGCUCACAUUAGCCUUGGAAGGCAUUAGAGACCUAAGCACGGGCUCCAUCAUAUCCAAACCCGAGCACUUAUCUUAAGGAAGGAGGCUGAAAUCUGGGAGAGAAGAAACCUAGGCAAAGUGCCUGAGAAACUGCCCUCCCUGUUCAGGGUCUGGAGUUAGGAUGGGAAUUUGGAACAUGGAAGACUUUCUGUUUUCCCCCCACCGUUUGUGUAUUCUAUAAUUAUUUCCUUUUUGCAAAAGCUUGGUAUUUUGUGAAGUCCUCUAAUCCUGUGAAGACAGCUUUUUCUUUUUAUCUUUGUUUCUCGGUGCCUUGAUUUAUCGCUUGCUAAAUAUAUUUCACCAUGUUGUUUACUUCAGGCUGACACCAUUGUGUGACUUCUCUACCUCAACUCCCCGCUGCUCUUUUGAGAGAUAAAUCACUGUAAUUAUUUAUUCUCUCGAAAAGAAGCGGGAGGUGUAAAAGCCAAACUAAUAUGUACCUUUAGCCCACCCGAAUGACACUUUGGAAAUGAUUGCUCCUAAACUUUGACUCUGUGUUUUCAGGUCCUCUAAAAGUGUCAGAUAACUGAGAAUUAUGGAAUGAGUUGGAAAUUCUCACUUUUUCAGGGACUGCCAACAACGGCUACGUAUUUAUAAGGGUUUCUGUUGAGUCCUACAGUGUUAACCCUCAGGGUUGCUCAGCUCACCAACAAACUCAGAAAUAAAAUGGAAACUAGAGGUUUGGGAUUCAGGGUGAAAGUUCAAAGCUAAGGCUAGGGAAAUUUUUAUUCAGUUGAUUUGGGUUUUUUUUUUUUUUUUAAGGUAUUUUUAAUCUCACUAGCAAUUUUCUUAGGUAACUUAAAAUCAAAUCAUAAUUACAAAUUCGAAUUCCCUUCCCUUCAUGGCAGCAGAAAAAGAAGUUGCUAGAAAUCCUUUCCCAUUUCAAUCUGAUGCAGAGAGAAAAGUUUCCUGAAGUAUUUUGUCCUCAGGUGGAUGGACAAAAAAUGGCCCACAUAAGUACCUUGAACUGACUUCGUAAGGGGAACAUGAAAUCAAUCACUAUUUCAUUCAGGAAAUAUACCAGCAUCAGGACCCUAAUGUCAAUACAACCUCUUACCCCAACAUUAGUUGCCAAGUUCUGCUAGAAAUAUAUUUUUUUUUCUGCUGCAAAAAGUAUCUUGGUUCAUUGUUCAAGAGUACCUCCCAGGCCCUAGGGAAAGAACCUUGGCUGGUCAGAAGUGGUUCAUGUUUUUCUCCUCUCUACUCCUGCCAUUUCUAUUUUAAUCAUUUCCCAAAUGCACCGUCUCACUGCAUGCUACACAAGGAAAUGUUGGGGGUGUUGAAGAGAAAGCCACAGGCCCAAAAUGGUGUCAUGUGCCCUAAAAGCCCAUGAUAACAAACCUAGAUUUAAUACCUGAUCGAAUGGCAAUUUCAACCUCUCCCAUAAACAUAUCUUAGUCAACCAGUCUGGAGUUUUCUGGUCAAGCACCAGGAAGUAAUCUGUCACUGGACCCUCUUCCAUUCCCCAUCAAAAGCAGAGACAUCUGCAUAAUCAAAACCCUUCCUAUUCUCCUCUCCCAAAAAAAAGGUAUCUUGGCCCCCAAAUAUUUUUUUCUUUUCUAUUGUUAAUGGCUCCCUUGUC